rnacentral:rRNA from 1 species
CCUACGGGUGGCAGCAGUGAGGAAUAUUGGUCAAUGGUCGGGAGACUGAACCAGCCAAGCCGCGUGAGGGAGGAAUGUACCGCGUAUCGUAAACCUCUUUUGUCAGGGAACAAAGACUGGGACGCGUCCCCGGAUGAGUGUACCUGAAGAAAAAGCAUCGGCUAACUCCGUGCCAGCAGCCGCGGUAAUACGGAGGAUGCGAGCGUUAUCCGGAUUUAUUGGGUUUAAAGGGUGCGAAGGUGGUCUGUUAAGUCAGCGGUAAAAGGCCGGGGCUAAACCCAGCCCAGCAGUUGAAACUGGCAGUCUCGAGUUGGAGAGAAGUAUGCGGAAUGCGCGGUGUAGCGGUGAAAUGCAUAGAUAUCGCGCAGAACUCCGAUUGCGAAGGCAGCAUGCCGGAUCCACACUGACGCUGAGGCACGAAAGCGUGGGUAUCGAACAGGAUUAGAUACCCGAGUAGUC